rnacentral:rRNA from 1 species
UACGGAGGGUGCAAGCGUUAUCCGGAUUCACUGGGUUUAAAGGGUGCGUAGGUGGGCUGGUAAGUCAGUGGUGAAAUCUCCGGGCUUAACUCGGAAACUGCCGUUGAUACUAUCAGUCUUGAAUGUUGUGGAGGUAAGCGGAAUAUGUCAUGUAGCGGUGAAAUGCUUAGAUAUGACAUAGAACACCGAUAGCGAAGGCAGCUUGCUACACAAUAAUUGACACUGAGGCACGAAAGCGUGUUAAUCAAAC